rnacentral:rRNA from 1 species
UACGUAGGGGGCAAGCGUUAUCCGGAUUUACUGGGUGUAAAGGGAGCGUAGACGGCUUUGCAAGCCAGAUGUGAAAGCCCGGGGCUCAACCCCGGGACUGCAUUUGGAACUGUGUGGCUAGAGUGUCGGAGAGGCAGGCGGAAUUCCUAGUGUAGCGGUGAGAUGCGUAGAUAUUAGGAGGAACACCAGUGGCGAAGGCGGCCUGCUGGACGAUGACUGACGUUGAGGCUCGAAAGCGUGGGGAGCAAACAGG